ACGAAGCCACUCGGGUUAAUAGCCCAGAGGGUGACGGUACCUCCAGAAGAAGCCCCGGCUAACUACGUGCCAGCAGCCGCGGUAAUACGUAGGGGGCUAGCGUUGUCCGGAUUUAUUGGGCGUAAAGAGCGUGUAGGCGGCUAGGUAGGUCCGUUGUGAAAACUCGAGGCUCAACCUCGAGACGUCGAUGGAAACCAUCUGGCUAGAGUCCGGAAGAGGAGAGUGGAAUUCCUGGUGUAGCGGUGAAAUGCGCAGAUAUCAGGAAGAACACCCGUGGCGAAGGCGGCUCUCUGGUACGUGACUGACGCUGAGACGCGAAAGCGUGGGGAGCGAACAGGAUUAGAUACCCUGGUAGUCCACGCCGUAAACGAUGGGUGCUAGGUGUGGGCGGUGUCGACUCCGUCCGUGCCGAAGCUAACGCAUUAAGCACCCCGCCUGGGGAGUACGGCCGCAAGGCUAAAACUCAAAGGAAUUGACGGGGGCCCGCACAAGCAGCGGAGCAUGUUGUUUAAUUCGACGCGACGCGAAGAACCUUACCAGGGCUUGACAUGCACGGGAAUGUCGUAGAAAUACGGCAGCCCUUCGGGGCUCGUGCACAGGUGGUGCAUGGCUGUCGUCAG
rnacentral:rRNA from 1 species